CAGAGUUCAUGCCCUCGCGGGUAGAUCUCCCACCCUUGCGUAUUCAUACCUUUGUUGCUUUGGCAAGGCCGCCUGGGCUCAUGCCCGGCCACCGGCUCUCGGGCUGGUGCGUGCCUGCCAGAGGAUCUCCAAACUCCAGUUUAUCAGUGUUGUCUGAGUCUUAAACAAUCGUUA
rnacentral:misc_RNA from 1 species